GGUUCCAUGGUGUAAUGGUUAAGACUCUGAAUGCAGCGAUCUGAGUUCAAAUCUUGGUGGGACCU
rnacentral:tRNA from 1 species